rnacentral:rRNA from 1 species
AACGAACGCUGGCGGCAGGCUUAACACAUGCAAGUCGAACGCAUCCUUCGGGGUGAGUGGCAGACGGGUGAGUAACGCGUGGGAACGUGCCCUUCAGUUCGGAAUAACCCAGGGAAACUUGGGCUAAUACCGGAUACGUGCGAGAGCAGAAAGAUUUAUCGCUGAAGGAUCGGCCCGCGUCUGAUUAGCUAGUUGGUGAGGUAAUGGCUCACCAAGGCGACGAUCAGUAGCUGGUCUGAGAGGAUGAUCAGCCACAUUGGGACUGAGACACGGCCCAAACUCCUACGGGAGGCAGCAGUGGGGAAUAUUGGACAAUGGGCGCAAGCCUGAUCCAGCCAUGCCGCGUGAGUGAUGAAGGCCUUAGGGUUGUAAAGCUCUUUCAGUGGGGACGAUAAUGACGGUACCCGCAGAAGAAGCCCCGGCUAACUUCGUGCCAGCCGCCGCCGUAA